CGCAGCAGGCGCGAAAACUUUACAAUGCGGGCAACCGUGAUAAGGGAACCUCGAGUGCCUGUAUAUGCAGGCUGUCCAGGUGUCUAAACCACACCUGAAGAAAGGGCCGGGCAAGACCGGUGCCAGCCGCCGCGGUAAUACCGGCGGCUCGAGUGGUGGCCACUUUUAUUGGGCUUAAAGCGUUCGUAGCUGGGUUGUUAAGUCUCUUGGGAAAUCCGGCGGCUCAACCGUCGGGCGUCUAAGGGAUACUGGCAAUCUUGGAACCGGGAGAGGUGAGGGGUACUUCGGGGGUAGGAGUGAAAUCCUGUAAUCCUCGAGGGACCACCUGUGGCGAAGGCGCCUCACCAGAACGGCUUCGACAGUGAGGGACGAAAGCUGGGGGAGCAAACCGGAUUAGAUACCCGGGUAGUCCCAGCCGUAAACGAUGUGCGUUAGGUGUAUCGACGACCACGAGUUGUCGAGGUGCCGAAGGGAAACCGUGAAACGUACCGCCUGGGAAGUACGGUCGCAAGGCUGAAACUUAAAGGAAUUGGCGGGGGAGCACCACAACAGGUGGAGCCUGCGGUUUAAUUGGACUCAACGCCGGGAAUCUCACCGGAUAGG
rnacentral:rRNA from 1 species